UUUGGUGGCGAUAGCGAAGAGGUCACACCCGUUCCCAUGCCGAACACGGAAGUUAAGCUCUUCAGCGCCGAUGGUAGUUGGGGGCUUCCCCUUGUGAGAGUAGGACGCCGCCAAGC
rnacentral:rRNA from 1 species